GGUCAAGUUAUUAAGGGAUUACGGUGGAUGCCUUGGGUCCAAGAGCCGAAGAAGGGCGUGGUAAGACUGCGAAAAGCCUCGGCUAGCUGUCUAACGAGCUUAACCGGGGAUACCCGAAUGGGGAAACCCGUCCUGGGUUGUACCAGGACAUUCCGUAAGGAAAGGGAACCGCGUGAACUGAAACAUCUAAUUAACGCGAGGAGUAUAAAUCAACCGAGAUUCCCCUAGUAGUGGCGAACGAAAGGGGAAUAGCCUAAACCAGACGGGCUUAGUGGAAUGAGGUCCUAUGUCCGGUCGGGGUUGUAACACACGCCUGCCCUGACCUCGGUAGGGGCGAGAAGUCAAAAACCUUCUUCCUAGCCCAACGCACCUGGAAAGGACGACCAUAGAAGGUGAUAGUCCUGUAGGCGAAAGUGACGAAACUCUUGAGAAUUUGUUAAGUACCACGAGACACGAGAAAUCUUGUGGGAAUCUGGGGAGACCACUCUCCAAGGCUAAAUACUCUUGGACACCG
rnacentral:rRNA from 1 species